GAUGAACGCUGGCGGCGUGCCUAAUACAUGCAAGUCGAGCGAACAGACGAGGAGCUUGCUCCUCUGACGUUAGCGGCGGACGGGUGAGUAACACGUGGAUAACCUACCUAUAAGACUGGGAUAACUUCGGGAAACCGGAGCUAAUACCGGAUAAUAUAUUGAACCGCAUGGUUCAAUAGUGAAAGACGGUUUUGCUGUCACUUAUAGAUGGAUCCGCGCCGCAUUAGCUAGUUGGUAAGGUAACGGCUUACCAAGGCAACGAUGCGUAGCCGACCUGAGAGGUGGAUCGGCCACACGGGAACUAGAACACGUACCGAACUCCUACGGAGGGAGGCGGAGGGAAAUCUUCGGCAAGGGGCGAAACCCGAACGAGGCAACGCCGCUGAGGUAAUAAAGUUCUUCGAUUCUAAAAACUCGUUUAUAGGGAAAAAACAAAUUUGUAGUAAACAAUCCACUUCUGAACGUAACCUAAUCGAAAGGCCACGCCAAACUACUG
rnacentral:rRNA from 1 species